UAGGGUGACUGACAUCCUGGUUUGCCGGGGACUGUGGCUGUUCCCACAUUAGACAGUCCUGGAUAAACCAAGAUGUGUUGGUGCCCCCAGGAUGGC
rnacentral:miRNA from 1 species